AUUAAAUCUUUAUUUUCCAACACCCUGUAUCUUUAGACAACUGCAUUUGUUUUUCCUUUGGUGAUUACCUAUCAUGAUUUUUUGGUUCUUUUUGCUUCUACUAGCUAGGUGGCUUCUCUUGUAUACCUCAUGUUUACUUGGGGGCGAUUUAUGCUUUUAAUAAAGUUUCGAUUAUUUAUCAAAAAAAAGUUUACGGAAACAUAGAUUGGAGAGCUUCAUGAAAUUUUCUGCCAGUAAGAACCAAUGAAAAGUUGUUGAUGCUUCAGUUUUUUUCUUUUUCACUUUUUUCUUUAUGGUUGAUUGUCACUUUAUUAUGUUGAUAGCUAUAAUUUUUUCAGGGCAAACAUGGUGAGUUUGAUAUUUUCUUCAAGUUUGCUGUAUGAAUUUAACAUAUGAUGACCUUAAUUAUUGAGACAAUGUGGCAGAAGCUGCUAUUGAGGAGGUAGUAAUGGUGGUACCAGAUGUCCUUGUAAGGCAUAGUUGUCUUGCAAUUUCUAUUCUUCAACAACUAAGUCAUAGGCUCAGUGUGUUUUUUUUCUUAAUCAUGCAUGUCUAUGUGUUCCAGUUUUGACAACCUCAAAAAUAUGUACUUUAUGCCUGCAAUUAACAUUAUAGUAUAACUGAUUUUGAGGGAUUAGGUGUGACACUUGAAUCAAGUACAAAUUUAUAAAGACAGCUGGUGAUGACUCUGUCAUCUAAAUAUUGCAUGUUAGGAAAAUUCAAAAUUGGAGGUCGUGGAAUUUAAUGGACCCAGCAGGUGGGCAUUGGAACCAUUGGUAUAGUUAAAUGACAUGCUACUCGAAGAGUUGUUAUUAUAGUCAGGAGCUACUAUUGGCAAAGCAUCUACUACUCUAGGAUUGGGGUAAUAGCCUGGGCUUUCUCUGUGGGUGUCCUCCUUAAAAGCUAUUCAUUUUGUGCUCUAGGAAGUGGUGUCUUAGUAACCCCUCCUCCAUUCCUGCUUCAAGUCAGGUCAAAUUAUAAAUGCUGAUCAUUGGAGAAAUCGUAGUGGGGGUUGCUUCUCGGUUGUUGCGCAGAUAAUUAUUGGGAGUAUAUCCAUAUAAUAUAACACCGAUGGUUGUUUUUUCAUACUUCUGCAGUGGCUAAUAUGAUUUCAGUUAAUUUAGAUCAAGUUUUCAUACUUGGAAUAGGCUUAUAGACCUCUUAUCAUAGGAAAAAGAGAGAUUAUUACUCAAAUACAAGAAUUUAAUAAAUGAAAGUCACAGUUGUGCCUGGAUGAUUUAGCUUUUACUGUAUCAAUGAAAAACACAUUAGCUUUUAGACCCCAUGCUCUUAGCUUUUGCCUAUAAUAGGUCAUUUCUAAUCUUAGCCAGCUGUCUUAUAGCGACAACAAGAUACAGACAAAACUCAUGUUAAAUUUGUUCUGGAAUUUAGGUUGCUUGUAAGAUGUGGUCAAAGACAAACUCAAUAGUGUCAGGAACUCACUAAUUCUGUGACAGUUUUUUGUCUUACACCUUAUAUAAAUCCUUUACGUUGCGAGAUGUUAGGUCCCCAGACUGCAAUAAUUAAAAGUACAAUUUCUUACGUAAGUUGAGUAAUGGAUAGGAUAAGGGGUACCAUGGAUUAGGCAUUAUGUACUAUCUAUCUUGAAAAAGUUAUUGCUAAGGUUCAAACACGCAGCUGGCCCUGUUGUUAAUUAUCUUCUUGUGAAUAUCUUUUGUUUUAAUUAAAGUUUGUUUUAUGCUUUUCUGUUUCUAUGCUUGAUUAUUGUCAAUUCUCCUCCAAUACCAUUGAUUGAUUACCUUGUAUUUUUGUGUACAAUGUAUUUUUCUUCAGGAGUGGUCUAUGAUUUCCAACUUGACCGAGGAGAAAGCUUCUGCUUUGCAACGAAAUCAGAAACUACAUCAGGAACUGGAUCUGCUGAGAAAAGAAAUCAGCAAAAGUCGUGCUGGUGGCCUCUCUCUAUUUAUUGUGGUGCUGGUUGGUCUGCUUGGCGUCCUGUUUGGCUACUUUGUCAAGUAAACGCAGAAACUGCAUAUCAGGCAACCUUUUGUUUUGUUAGCUGGGUGUUGGAAUCAACAUUAUUGAUGCUCCUGAUCUUCCUAAGACUCUUUUUUAGGACUUUUCUUCUUUUAGGGUGUAAAUUAUAGCCUCUUAUUAUUGUAUUUUGACAUGUGAAUGAUUGAUUUAUCCAAGUCCUAAGAACUUUUUCGGUUGAAAGGUGGGUUAGAUGGGCUCGGCUUAUUGUAAACCUAAUACAUAUUGAUGCUUGGUUUUAAUCAAAGGGGGUUUUGUUUUUGGUGUUUUU